ensembl:lincRNA
AUGCGAGUGCGCGUGCGUGAUGAGAGCCACGCCCAUUCUUCCCGGAGCCUGCGCUCCUUCUACUUCACCAGGCAUCGAGCUGCCAAGCUUUACAGCUCCCAACACCUAGAUACCUGUAUUUUUCCAAAGCCUUGGUUUGGGAGUCAUUUCCUGAUGCGUUACAGCUCCUUUGGACUGAGUAUGCUUCCGACGUCAGGGAGCAAGAUGGCAUUGAUCCUUCUGUCUUCUCUUCCCGCUUAA